AUUCCUACGGGAGGCAGCAGUGGGGAAUAUUGGACAAUGGGCGCAAGCCUGAUCCAGCCAUGCCGCGUGAGUGAUGAAGGCCUUAGGGUUGUAAAGCUCUUUUACCAGGGAUGAUAAUGACAGUACCUGGAGAAUAAGCUCCGGCUAACUCCGUGCCAGCAGCCGCGGUAAUAAU
rnacentral:rRNA from 1 species